CGUGUCGAUGGUCCCAAUCCAGGGACUGAACCCGUGCCACAGCAGCAACCUCAGCUGCUGCCGCGACAACGCCGAAUCCUUGUCCCGCUGCACCCAAAGAGAACUCCUCAUUCAUUAAUAAAGGGUACAGUCCUAGAGGAUGUUAUUGGAUCCAAGAGUAAAAAGGCCGUAUGUCAGAUGUUGAUGUCUAUUGCCAGAUUGCCCUCCUGAAAGCUUUCACCGCUUUGCGUUACAACCAGCCGUGUAAAAGCACGGCUCUUGCCCCACGGUCUAGCCCGGAGGUUAUCGUAGUCUUUCCUCUGGUACAUAGUUUGUUUUAACUUGUACUUUUUAAAAUUACCAGUUACAAUAAAACAUUGUCAUUGUCCAUGCGCACAACUUA